rnacentral:lncRNA from 1 species
CUAGUGAAGAAAAGAGACAAAGUUCUCCCCUCAUGGACUUACCUCUUAGCAGAGGAGACAGUCCAUAAACCAACAGAUAAGUGUGUAAUGUGAAGAUGUUUCUGAAGAAGAAAUUCUAAGCUGAGACCUGAAUGAAGGGAGAAUGAGCCAUGCAGAUAUCCAUGAAGAGCAGGGCAAGUCCCUGGCAUAGGAAUUUGCUUGGUUUGUUUGAGGGUCAGCAAAACAGUCCACAGAACAAAGAGGAGGAGCUGUGGGGGCUGAGGCCUGGGUUCAGGGCUCAGCCAAAGGAGGAGUCUCCUAGUGCUGGCAGUGCUCUCGAUUUUGAAUGAGAGAGGAAGCCAGUGGAGGGUCUUCAGCAGAAGAAUGAUGUGAUCUAAUUAAUUAUAGAAGGGCUUUCUGGCUGCUGGGGGAGAGUAAGUGGAAGGAAGACAGGACAGCUGAAGCAGAGAGGUCAGCGAGGAGCUUGUUACAGCUCUCCAGGAACAAGGUGGAAAACCAUUUCGGGAAACUGCAAAGAAUGCAAAGAGGAAAUCUGAGCACUGGAUUCAGAAGGAGGAGAGGCUGUAUGUGAAAAUGGAAUAAUAUCCUGAACCAGAAAUGCAGGGACGAUAAAGUAAAUCACUCUUGCAAAGCACGAG